rnacentral:lncRNA from 1 species
GUCUCUGCUGAGCACUGUGGAAUCAUGAGCUCCCUCUCAGGUCUGGGGGCAUCCGAGGCUCCACGUGGUGGCAUCAGCAGGGCUAAUGACACCGUUGGCAGGGCAAGGCUGGCAUGGUGCAAGCCCUGGCUGAGCAGGCACAUGGCUCUGCCUCGAGGGCUUGGGAUCAGGAUCCAUCCAACUCCCCUCACUGAGCUCCGGGAACCAGCUUCUGUGGCAAGAGUUCCACCAGGUGCUGGUGGUUCAGCCUACAUCCCCCACACCUGGACGGAAACCAAGGGAGAGACCAGCAGGUCUGAACACCUCCAGGAAGCCUUCUGGGACUCCCCCACCUGCCUCAUCUUGAAGCACAGGAGAUUGUUGUUUCACAUGUUGAGGGCCUUCUGGAUGCCACACACUGCCGAGGCUCUGGGGAAUAUGGCAGUAAAGAAGGCAAAGGCCUGUCCUCAUGAAGUUGAUGUUCUAUGGAG